rnacentral:rRNA from 1 species
AGAGCACGUGGUGGAUGCCUUGGCGAUGAUAGGCGACGAAGGACGUGAUAGCCUGCGAUAAGCUUCGGGGAGCUGGCAAAUAAGCUUUGAUCCGGAGAUUUCCGAAUGGGGAAACCCACCUAGCAGUAGGUAUCGCAUGAUGAAUACAUAGUCAUGCGAGGCGAACCGGGUGAACUGAAACAUCUCAGUAGCUCGAGGAAAAGACAUCAACCGAGAUUCCGAAAGUAGUGGCGAGCGAAAUCGGAAGAGCCUGUUAGUGAUAGCACAAGACUUAACGGAACGCCAUGGAAAGGGCGGCCAUAGCGGGUGAUAGCCCCGUACGUGAAAAGACCUGUGUGGUACUGAGCUAACGACAAGUAGGGCGGGACACGAGAAAUCCUGUCUGAAUAUGGGGGGACCAUCCUCCAAGGCUAAAUACUCGUAAUCGACCGAUAGUGAACAAGUACCGUGAGGGAAAGGCGAAAAGAACCCCGGGAGGGGAGUGAAAUAGAUCCUGAAACCGCAUGCUUACAAAAAGUAGGAGCCCGCAAGGGUGACUGCGUACCUUUUGUAUAAUGGGUCAGCGACUUACAUUCAGUGGCAAGGUUAACCGAAUAGGGAAGCCGUAGAGAAAUCGAGUCCGAAUAGGGCGAUUCAGUCGCUGGGUGUAGACCCGAAACCAAGUGAUCUAUCCAUGGCCAGGAUGAAGGUGCCGUAACAGGUACUGGAGGUCCGAACCGACUAGUGUUGCAAAACUAGCGGAUGAGCUGUGGAUAGGGGUGAAAGGCUAAACAAACUUGGAAAUAGCUGGUUCUCUCCGAAAACUAUUUAGGUAGUGCCUCAAGUAUUACCAUCGGGGGUAGAGCACUGUUUUGGCUAGGGGGUCAUGGCGACUUACCAAACCAAGGCAAACUCCGAAUACCGAUGAGUACAGCUUGGGAGACAGAGCACCGGGUGCUAACGUCCGGACUCAAGAGGGAAACAACCCAGACCGCCAGCUAAGGUCCCUAAAACGGGCUAAGUGGGAAACGAAGUGGGAAGGCUAAAACAGUCAGGAUGUUGGCUUAGAAGCAGCCAUCAUUUAAAGAAAGCGUAAUAGCUCACUGAUCGAGUCGUCCUGCGCGGAAGAUGUAACGGGGCUAAGCCAGUUACCGAAGCUGCGGAUUUGCAAUUUAUUGCACGUGGUAGGAGAGCGUUCUGUAGGCCUGUGAAGGUGUCUGGUAAAGGAUGCUGGAGGUAUCAGAAGUGCGAAUGCUGACAUGAGUAGCGUUAAAGGGGGUGAAAAGCCCCCUCGCCGUAAGCGCAAGGUUUCCUACGCAACGUUCAUCGGCGUAGGGUGAGUCGGCCCCUAAGGCGAGGCAGAGAUGCGUAGCUGAUGGGAAACAGGUCAAUAUUCCUGUACCGAUUACAAGUGCGAUGUGGGGACGGAUCUUAAUAGGUUAUCCGGCUGUUGGAUGUGCCGGUUUAGACAGAUGUAGGCGACACGUAGGCAAAUCCGCGUGUCAUAUACCGAGGCUGUUGAUCGAGCGAGCUUGCUCGCGAAGUAACUGAACGAGGUCCCAGGAAAAGCCACUAAGCUUCAGCUUGUAAUUGACCGUACCGCAAACCGACACUGGUGCGCGAGAUGAGUAUUCUAAGGCGCUUGAGAGAACUCAGGAGAAGGAACUCGGCAAAUUGAUACCGUAACUUCGGGAGAAGGUAUGCCCCAAGUAGGUGAACCUGUACAAGGCGAGCCCAACGGGGUUGCAAAAAAUCGGUGGCUGCGACUGUUUAAUAAAAACACAGCACUCUGCAAACACGAAAGUGGACGUAUAGGGUGUGACGCCUGCCCGGUGCUGGAAGAUUAAAUGAUGGGGUGCAAGCUCUUGAUCGAAGUCCCAGUAAACGGCGGCCGUAACUAUAACGGUCCUAAGGUAGCGAAAUUCCUUGUCGGGUAAGUUCCGACCCGCACGAAUGGCGUAACGAUGGCCACACUGUCUCCUCUCGGGACUCAGCGAAGUUGAAAUGUUUGUGAAGAUGCAAUCUACCCGCGGCUAGACGGAAAGACCCCAUGAACCUUUACUGUAGCUUU